UACGGUUAUAUCACGUUGAAACACCGGUUCUCAUACGAUCACUAAAGUUAAGCAACGUCGAACCUGAUUUGUACGUAAAUGGGGACAACUUCGAAAUACCAGGUGCUGUAAU